UUGGAGGGCAAGUCUGGUGCCAGCAGCCGCGGUAAUUCCAGCUCCAAUAGCGUAUAUUAAAGUUGUUGCAGUUAAAAAGCUCGUAGUUGAAUUUCGGGAUCAAUAUAUCGGUCGUGCCUUUGGUACGUACUGGUAUCAUUGAUUUCUCCCUUCUGACGAAUCAUGAUGUCAUUAAUUUGGUGUUAUGAGGAGUUAGGACUGUUACUUUGAAAAAAUUAGAGUGUUUAAAGCAGGCAUUAGCUUGAAUACAUUAGCAUGGAAUAAUGAAAUAGGACGUUUGAUCCUAUUUUGUUGGUUUUUAGGAUCGACGUAAUGAUUAAUAGGGAUAGUUGGGGGCAUUAGUAUUCAAUUGUCAGAGGUGAAAUUCUUGGAUUUAUUGAAGACUAACUACUGCGAAAGCAUUUGCCAAGGAUGUUUUCAUUAAUCAAGAACGAAAGUUAGGGGAUCGAAGACGAUCAGAUACCGCCGUAGUCUUAACCAUAAACUAUGCCGACUAGGGAUCGGAUGAUGUUAAUUUUAUAAUGACUCAUUCGGCGCCUUACGGGAAAC
rnacentral:rRNA from 1 species